GCCCCAAUGGCGGAAUUGGCAGACGCGCAGCGUUCAGGUCGCUGUUUGAUUUUAUCAAGUACAGGUUCGAAUCCUGCUUGGGGCA
rnacentral:tRNA from 1 species